AUAGGCAUGAGCCUCCACACCUGGCUCCAGUUUAUCAUUUUAUUUGGGGGCUUCAUUCCACUAGUGAACUCUGAACAGACAGUACUGUCCUUGGGGGAGCCACAAGGAGUGUUAUGAAGGGUGUGAAACUGGGAUCAGAAUCUGGGUCCUGAUCUGCUCUGCCUCCUCUGACCUUUCCAGGGGUAGCCUCAUAUGCAUGACCUUCCCCUCCCUGUCUGAAUUUUCUCUUGUAAAACCAGGCGGUGGAACAGGACACUAUCCGUGUUCCUAGUUCAGGCAGUUAGGCACUAAAGGAGGGCAGGUAGACAGAUGCUGAGAAGUAGGACUGAGUGAGAAAGGGCAGAGUGUGUGAGGGGCAGGCCUGGGAGGGCAGCAGGGUUCCUGGUGGGUCCUAAGCAGGGAUCCCUGGAGACAACGGUCGUUCUGACUGCCUCGGCCAAUCUCUCGGAAAAUUGAGGCCCAGAGAAGGUUGGGACAGACUCUCAGCCACCUAGCAAGCUUGAGCCAGAACACAGGAUCCAGACCCUAUCCCAGGCCAGUGAGUGAAAAUUGUGAAGUCACAAUGUUGGUCUGGCUGCGGUGGGCAAGACACAUCUGUGUGAUAGACCCACUCAGCUGUGAAUGGAGCUGACUCCAUCCUUGAAAUGUGAGAUUAAACUAUUUUUAGUCUGCGCUACUGCUGGUGAGACGCCGGAGGAAGCCUUUCCAUCGCUGAGAUCUUCUGGAAGCUGCCAAGUGUGGUCUUCAGCUCGAUUCUGGGAGCCUCCCAGAGCAGGCGGGAGGGGUGUCACCAUCUGGGGGCUGUGGGGACAGGCUGGUGUGUGCUUGCUCCCUGAGGUCCUUGUUGCGCUGGCCUCCCUGAGCCGUGUGGCCCUGGCCUGCAGAGAACAGUAAUCUGAUGCACCCGAUGUUUGUAACGCUGUGUUUAAAAAAAGUAAUUUAUUUUCUAAUUAUUCCUUGUCUUGCAUAACCGUGCAUCGCCAAAGUGUCGCUAUUUAAAAUAUUUAUCUCUCCACGCCGCAGGAGCAGCUCUGGAGCGUGGAGGGAGAAGAAAUAAAAGUCCAUGUGCCGGUCGCAGGCAUAUUACUUUGACUGGU